CGUAUCACCCAAGACAACUUUGCGGAGUUGACGAUUGACGGAGCGAAGCGACGUCAAAGCGUUCAUUAAAGUCGAGUUGGCUUAGGGAUACGUUCGUUGGGUAGGGGAGCGUUCUGUAAGCCAGUGAAGGUGUGUCGUGAGGCAUGCUGGAGGUAUCAGAAGUGCGAAUGCUGACAUAAGUAACGAUAAAGCGGGUGAAAAGCCCGCUCGCCGGAAGACCAAGGGUUCCUGUCCAACGUUAAUCGGGGCAGGGUGAGUCGACCCCUAAGGCGAGGCCGAAAGGCGUAGUCGAUGGGAAACGGGUUAAUAUUCCCGUACUUGGUGUUACUGCGAAGGGGGGACGGAGAAGGCUAUGUUGGCCGGGCGACGGUUGUCCCGGUUUAAGCGUGUAGGUGUGUGUUCCAGGUAAAUCCGGUUCACUUUAACACUGAGGCGUGAUGACGAGGCACUACGGUGCUGAAGCAACAAAUGCCCUGCUUCCAGGAAAAGCCUCUAAGCAUCAGGUAACAUCAAAUCGUACCCCAAACCGACACAGGUGGUCAGGUAGAGAAUACCAAGGCGCUUGAGAGAACUCGGGUGAAGGAACUAGGCAAAAUGGUGCCGUAACUUCGGGAGAAGGCACGCUGACACGUAGGUGAAGUGAUUUACUCAUGGAGCUGAAGUCAGUCGAAGAUACCAGCUGGCUGCAACUGUUUAUUAAAAACACAGCACUGUGCAAACACGAAAGUGGACGUAUACGGUGUGACGCCUGCCCGGUGCCGGAAGGUUAAUUGAUGGGGUCAGCGCAAGCGAAGCUCCUGAUCGAAGCCCCGGUAAACGGCGGCCGUAACUAUAACGGUCCUAAGGUAGCGAAAUUCCUUGUCGGGUAAGUUCCGACCUGCACGAAUGGCGUAAUGAUGGCCAGGCUGUCUCCACCCGAGACUCAGUGAAAUUGAACUCGCUGUGAAGAUGCAGUGUACCCGCGGCAAGACGGAAAGACCCCGUGAACCUUUACUAUAGCUUGACACUGAACAUUGAGCCUUGAUGUGUAG
rnacentral:rRNA from 3 species